rnacentral:rRNA from 1 species
AUUGAACGCUGGCGGCAGGCCUAACACAUGCAAGUCGAGCGGAUGACGGGAGCUUGCUCCUCGAUUCAGCGGCGGACGGGUGAGUAAUACCUAGGAAUCUGCCUGAUAGUGGGGGACAACGUUUCGAAAGGAACGCUAAUACCGCAUACGUCCUACGGGAGAAAGCAGGGGACCUUCGGGCCUUGCGCUAUCAGCUGAGCCUAGGUCGGAUUAGCUAGUUGGUGAGGUAAUGGCUCACCAAAGCGACGAUCCGUAACUGGUCGGAGAGGAUGAUCAGUCACACUGGAACUGAGACACGGUCCAGACUCCUACGGGAGGCAGCAGUGGGGAAUAUUGGACAAUGGGCGAAAGCCUGAUCCAGCCAUGCCGCGUGUGUGAAGAAGGUCUUCGGAUUGUAAAGCACUUUAAGUUGGGAGGAAGGGCAGUAAGCUAAUACCUUGCUGUUUUGACGUUACCGACAGAAUGAGCACCGGCUAACUACGUGCCAGCAGCCGCAGUAAGAC